CUCUGUUCGUUGGAGACAUGGCUGUGUGUGGUGUCGUAGCUGAACAACACGGAGGAAAUGUGAUCUCAUUGCUGAAUGAGUUGGAGGAAAGUAUCCUGCAGUUUGUGCUUGCCUCCAUAACAUGAUGUGCUGAGGACCUCAGGCAAGCUGGGUCUCCUCAAUUCCCUCAUCUUCAGCACGGAUGGAGCACCUUGU